rnacentral:rRNA from 1 species
UACGUAGGCAGCAAGCGUUGUUCGGAGUUACUGGGCGUAAAGGGUGUGUAGGCGGUUGUUUAAGUUUGGUGUGAAAUCUCCCGGCUCAACUGGGAGGGUGCGCCGAAUACUGAAUGACUAGAGUGCGGGAGAGGAAAGUGGAAUUCCUGGUGUAGCGGUGAAAUGCGUAAAUAUCAGGAGGAACACCGGUGGUGUAGACGGCUUCUGGACCGUAACUGACGCUGAGACACGAAAGCGUGGGUAGCAAACAGGA